UGAGGAAUUUUGCGCAAUGGGCGAAAGCCUGACGCAGCAACGCCGCGUGAGUGAGGAAGGUUUUCGGACCGUAAAGCUCUGUCGAGCGGGAAGAAAUGCAUGGUGGCUAAUAUCCAUCAUGCUUGACGGUACCGCUAAAGGAAGCACCGGCUAACUCCGUGCCAGCAGCCGCGGUAAUACGGGGGGUGCGAGCGUUGUUCGGAAUUAUUGGGCGUAAAGAGCGUGUAGGCGGCCGAAUAAGUCAGAUGUGAAAUCCCUGGGCUUAACCCAGGACGUGCAUUUGAAACUAUUCGGCUAGAGUAGGGGAGAGGAAAGUGGAAUUCCUGGUGUAGAGGUGAAAUUCGUAGAUAUCAGGAGGAACACCGGUGGCGAAGGCGACUUUCUGGCCCUAUACUGACGCUGAGACGCGAGAGCGUGGGUAGCAAACAG
rnacentral:rRNA from 1 species